rnacentral:lncRNA from 1 species
GGGGAGCUCCCCUGCACAUGCUCUGUCUCUUGCCUGCCGCUAUGCAAGGCGUGACUUUGCUCCUCCUUUGCCUUCUGACAUGAUUGUGAGGCCUCCCCAGCCAUGUGGAACUAUGAGCAAGCUGAACCUCAGAGGGCUUAGUGAUGUGGUUGAGGCACAGCCACCAAGGAUCAAUGACUGAGCCUCAAAACCACCUCUUCUGAGAGUACUGCUUUCUUACCCGAGGAUGGCCCAUCAGGGUGAUCUGGAAGGCAGAAGACGGGAGUUUUUCUGUGAACUCACUGUGGUGGGGGUGGUCCUUGGAAAAGUACUGAGUACACAGAAGUGGCGACGGGCAAAUGGAGAUCCUGGAAAAGGAGGUUUUCUACCAAAAUAUCCUUGUGAACAUGAGGACAGCUUCCAAACUGAGAAAGAGUGGGCUCGAGAAAGCUCUAAUGCUUCUUUCCCUGACACGAAGUGCUUCGUGCAGUGUUUGGCAUCAACAUGUCGGAGCCGUGGCAACGUUCUCCGUGCAUCCCCGCUUGGGCGUCAUUUUAAAGGGCCCACCUUGUGUACGAGAUGCACUUUGAUUUACUGACUUGCUUACGGAGAAAGGAGUCGUGGAAAUGUACCUGGCUGUGAGACAUAUAUUCACAGACACGUGUACAUCUUUAUGCCCACACAGAAGGGUAACAGCAGCCUUGCUUCAGAGGCCACACCUUCCAGGAAACCCUUCAGCCUGCCGUGUCUUAGCUGAUCCCUCUGCCAUCCCCUUGCAGAAGGAGCUUGGAGUCUCUCAGCUCAGCUGGACUAGAUGAAUCUUCUCAGGGUCGUCUUCUCCCACCUCUGGCUCCCAGUUCCUUCCCCCAGUCUCUCCCUCCCUGCUCUGUGUGAUCAGGGAAGCUGCAAACCCAACCCUUACAUCAAAAGGGAACUUGAAAAAUACUUGGAGCAAAAACUGCUAACUGUGCAUCCUUGCUGUAUGCUGGCGCUGAUAUUAAAUCAGGAAAUGGCACUGAACAGCCGCUCCGAACACAGAAACAGGGGUUGUCAACACAGCAACCAAAAGCAAUCUCUAACGGGCAGAGGUGAAAGGGACCUGGCACAGGGCCAGGAGGGGGGCUGCAACCCAGGAAAGAAUUCCUGAGCUGAGUGUGUCUGUGCCACCUCUCCAGUGUCCAGAAUGAAGCCUGGAUCUCAGUCCCUGGCAUGGAAUGCACCUUGUCUCUCUCCAUGAGGGAUGAAAGAUAAUUAGAUAAUUAAGCAUGUUGCUUAAAUACCUUUGAAAUUCUCCUUUUUAUUUCCAUACAUGUUUACCGAGCACCCACUAUGUGCCUGACAGUCCAAUAAAAAAGAUGCCUUCCCAUGUGGAGAUGACCUUCUAGCCCUCAGGACAGAACUCUGACCCUUUGACAUGGCAUUCAAGGUCCUUCGAGUGUUGGCUCCUGCAGAAGCUUUCAUCUCUGUUUCCAGCCUCCCUGAAAUAGCUCCCCAAGGGCACGAGGCAGUACCUUUGCUCCAUGCCUUUGCUUGGACUAGUCCUACCACCAGCAAUUCCUGCAUUUCUGUGUUUGGCAAGUUUCUGCUCAGCCUCCAAAGCCUUAACCAAGUGUCACCUUUUCUCUGCAGCAUUUUCUGCCACCCUCCCCAUUUCUUCCAAUAGAACCAGGGAUCUUUUACUUGGGAUCCAGAAGCACUGUGGACAUAUUGCCAUCACAACACCUUUCAUGUCACAAUGGCAAGGUUUGCACUGUCUUGGAGGAGAGGAAGGAAGCCAUAUUCAUCCCUGAACCCUCAUCUCCCAGCACUGGUUGUAAAACUGAAACAAAAAUGGAAAACCUUGAUGAAAUUCAUUGUUGGUGUGGCUAUGGGGAAACAGAUUUUCCAUUUCUGAUAGUAAAUGAAAUAGGCACCAUCUUGUUAGAGGCUAAUUUGACAUUAUUAACACUGAAAAUGCACACAUCUUUCAACCCAGCAAUUUUAUUUCUUGCUUUCUAGAGGAAUGUUUGCCCAUGUGCAGAAAGGCGCAUGUAAAAAGCUGAGUUGCAGCAUUGUUUGCAAUAGUAAAAGAUUUGAAAUUGCUUAAAUGUCGGUCAAUAUGGCCUGGAUAAAAAACUAUAGGGCAUCCAUUGGAUAGAAUGCUAUGCAUUAGUUAAAAAGAAGUAGAUUUCCAUGUAUUGACCAAGCAUUUGCUGAGUAAAAAUCAAAAGCAAGCUGUAGCUCUAGACAUAGAUGUUAAAAUUACAUUGCUGCAUUUUUUCACAA